rnacentral:tRNA from 1 species
UUAAUUAAAACCAAAAUAGAGGUAAAUUAUUGUUAAUAAUUUUAUUGAAUAUGUAUAUUCUAAUUAAU